AAAUUCAAAGCAAAUUCAAAACAAAAAUCAGCUGUUAUUUAAGCAUGGCCUCCCAUUUUCAGUGCUUAAGAAUAGUAAAAAAGAACUGCAACCAAAUACGCAGUGAAAUAGAUUAUCACUGGCUCAGUAAUCAGUCGUUGAAUAUGUAUUACGAGUAUACCACGUGCAUUCCAAAAGACUGAUGUAACCUUUCCAGCGCACUUUUUCGUCUUUCUACGCCUGAGAACCGGUUCCUCAUGUGCAGUCCACUAAAAUGACUGUCAAUUGGACUCCAGUAGGAGUCCAUCAUAUCAAUUGAGCUAUGUAUCUAUAGUCACACACCGACGCAAAAAUUCGGUUUUAUUCCGAUUAAAGAGCACUCAAACACUUCUCAGAAUCAGUUAUGCGCUGUUUUUGUUAGAUUAUGAACUUGCGAGGCACCUACUUUGCACAGAGCUUUCGCCUCUUUAGGGCAUCGUCCAGGUUAGCAAAUAUCUUUUCAACGAUGGAUUUCCCUGAGCCCAAAUUCAACAGUAUUUUCCCCAAAAAGCCAAAUGCUUUAUUAACACACGAAAUGCUUUAAGAUCCAUUUUUUUGUAAACUAACAAAAGUUGCUUCACAAAAAUGUUAUAACUCAUGGAAAAGAGCUAUCCACCAAUAGUUAUAAUCCAACUAAUAGAAAUCAUAUAGAUCAGCCACAGUGAAGCGUGGACGGGUCCUCUAGUGUACAUAUAUAGUUGACUUAGAAGCAAGUGAUAUAGAAAAGUCUUUCACUUUUUUAGAAGUUCAAUCUAAGGCUGUUGGAAUACCGUAUGAGAAGGAUUUAGUUUUCAUUAAUUAUAUAUAUAUGAAUAUUGUUAAAAUAAAGUUCAAACCAUCAAAAUGAAAUCAAUAAAACGUAUGGACUUUAAUGCUCAAGCUAAAGACAGGAAAGAAUGCAAUUGUCGGAUGUUCCAAAUUUGAAUCACCUGCACUUUAUGUACAUAAGUAUAUGUUUGUUUACAUUUAUUUACUUAUUUUAGAUCAACUCCAAAUUUGCAUGGAAGUAGUAAUCGAUAUGAUAGUUGGUAUAAAUAAAAGGAAUCACACAUUGCUGAGGAAACGUCUUUAACGGCAAAAUUUCUAUUGUUAUAUCUGUCUAAAUGCAAAAAUAAAUAACGGCAAGCGCGAAGGUUAUUGAAAUUUCUUUUCUAUGAAAUCACUUUUAGACCGGCAGGGGUGGUUAAAAAUCUUAAAGAGAUAUCGACGGAUGCUGCUGUCCAAGAAUAUAAUGUUACAAAAGUAGUAUUUAGUUGUAUUUGUAUUGCUAUGUGCAUCCCUUAUUAUGAACAAUAGCUGUAGGUAUAUGGAAUAGCAUUUGUCUUGUUGUAGACAUCUUGCGCCGCGGCUGUCUGCUUGUCGAAACAAUAGACAUCUGGCGCCACGGCUGUCUGCUUGUCUAAGCAAUAGCUGGAUUUGGCGCCGUAUGUUCUGGUAAUUUCCAGACGCAAUAUUCUAGAAGGACACGUCGGCAUCAGCGAGAAGUGCGUGGCUAUAUAAGCCGUGGCAGCGCCAACGUAAUCAAUCAGUGCUAAGAGUAAACUGCUAUAGUGUAGACGAGUUGUGAAAUAAAGAGUUGUUGAAUUAAAUUAAACAGUGUUGAUUUUAUUUGUCAAUCCAGAGAUACGAACCUAACAAAGUAAACUAGCAAGCAGUAAAUUCGUAACAAUAAUAUUGAGGGAAGUCAUGGAAAAAAUCUUUAAGACGUCUGGAGAACUUUUACUCCACCCUAAUAGGUAAAUAAAUACUGUUUACUUUUUUCAAGAUAUUAUAACUGUUUUAGGUUAAGUUUGUGAUAACACUCAAUUAUAUAUUGAUUUAUGAGUAAUAUUUUUAUAACAAAAAUAGUUUUUAUUUGAAUAUCUUUGUAUCAAAUGACAAUUUGAUAAUAAUUUGAGGAUCUUGUUUUGGUGACUCCUUAUUAAAAAGGAUUGUAUAUGGAACUUCAUUGGUAGUAGAGUGAACAAUUAUAUGGUUAUGAGUGAAAAGUGUUUGUUCAAUUUCUAAAUAUUUUAGCUCUUUAUCACCUGAAGUGUUGAUUAUUCUAAGUUUUUCAUUUAAAGUUUUAUGUAGUCUUUCAUUGUCACCUAUACCAGUUUUACCGGUGGUUACUUCUACUUUUAUAUUUAAUGAAUUACACCAUUGUUUAAUGUUUAUAUUAUUUAAACCUUGGUCUUGGUCGAUUUUUAAAGUUUUUGGAGGACCCUUACAAUUAAAAAUUUUUAGCAAUGCUUUUUUGGAUUCCAGCCAGACCAAUGCUUUAACUUUUUCUAUCAUAGCAAACUUACAGUAUAAAUCGAUACAUGUUAAAUAAUAUUCAUUAUUCCAUUUCCAAAAAUCUAUAACAUAUUUUUCUCUUAUUUUGUAAAUUGGCGGUGUAAUUUUGAACGGCAUUUUGUUAGAAAUAUGAUCGUUCUUACAAUUAUUACACAGUUCACAUUCAUUUAUUAUUUUGGUGAUUUCCUUAAGAUAAUUGGGGUAAUAAUACUGUAAUUUAAAACAUUUUGCAACCUUCUCUAUACCUUGAUGAAAUCCAUUUAAAUGGAUUUCAAGUACUUUACUUUUAAAAUUUGCAAAAUCUGUAAUGUUUUUUAAUUCUGUUGUACACCGAUAAAUCUUGUUGCGACUUGUUGUUAUUAGUGUCUUAUAAACGUUUUGAAAUUGUAUAAAAUCAGUAUCAUUGGGCAUAAAAAUUGUUGUAUUAUUUUUUAAUGAAAGGGUUUUAAUUAUAUCUUUAAUAUAAUCAGAAGUUAAUUCUUUGUAUGUAAUUACAAUUAGGUUAUUAAAAAAACUUUUGUUGUUGUAGUUGAGUCUUUACCAUCUCUUAUUAAUUUAAUUUGAUUUUCGAAUACAAUUAAUGAUCGCUCUGUUAUCUUAAUAAAACUUUCAGAAUCUUCAUCGGCAGAAUGAACAGUGUCUACGUUAGAUUCAGAUUCUUCAUUAAAAAAGCAUUCCGUAUUUUUAAUACGAGAAAGAGCAUCUGCUACACGAUUUUCUUUACCUGAUAUGUAUUUUACGUCAAAGUCAUAUUCAUUAAGCCGAAUCUUCCAUCUUUGUAACUUGGAGUUUGGUUCCCUUAAGUUGUGGAGCCAUUGCAAUGGUCUAUGAUCACUAUUUAUUAAAAAUUUCCUGCCGUAUAAAUAUGAUCUAAAAUAUUUGGUAGCC